UAGUUGGUGGGGUAAAGGCCUACCAAGGCGACGAUCAGUAGCGGGUCUGAGAGGAUGAUCCGCCACACUGGAACUGAGACACGGUCCAGACUCCUACGGGAGGCAGCAGUGGGGAAUUUUGGACAAUGGGGGCAACCCUGAUCCAGCCAUUCCGCGUGAGUGAAGAAGGCCUUCGGGUUGUAAAGCUCUUUCAGCUGGAACGAAACGGUACGCUCUAACAUAGCGUGCUAAUGACGGUACCAGCAGAAGAAGCACCGGCUAACUACGUGCCAGCAGCCGCGGUAAUACGUAGGGUGCGAGCGUUAAUCGGAAUUACUGGGCGUAAAGCGUGCGCAGGCGGAUUGUUAAGCAAGACGUGAAAUCCCCGGGCUUAACCUGGGAAUGGCGUUUUGAACUGGCAGUCUAGAGUGUGUCAGAGGGGGGUAGAAUUCCACGUGUAGCAGUGAAAUGCGUAGAGAUGUGGAGGAAUACCAAUGGCGAAGGCAGCCCCCUGGGAUAACACUGACGCUCAUGUACGAAAGCGUGGGUAGCAAACAGGAUUAGAUACCCUGGUAGUCCACGCCCUAAACGAUGUCAACUGGUUGUUGGGGGAGUGAAAUCCCUUAGUAACGAAGCUAACGCGUGAAGUUGACCGCCUGGGGAGUACGGUCGCAAGAUUAAAACUCAAAGGAAUUGACGGGGACCCGCACAAGCGGUGGAUGAUGUGGAUUAAUUCGAUGCAACGCGAAAAACCUUACCUACCCUUGACAUGUCCAGAAUCCUGCAGAGAUGCGGGAGUGCCCGAAAGGGAAUUGGAACACAGGUGCUGCAUGGCUGUCGUCAGCUCGUGUCGUGAGAUGUUGGGUUAAGUCCCGCAACGAGCGCAACCCUUAUCAUUAGUUGCUACGCAAGGGCACUCUAAUGAGACUGCCGG
rnacentral:rRNA from 1 species